CUUUCUCCGACUUUCUAGGACAUGUUUUAUGCCACUUCUUUUUCUGUCUCAUUUUGUCCGCCAAACUUUUAACGUUGUGCGUGAAUACACAAAGGCGGAGACAAAGCAUCAGGACCUUCCAGUUUCUAGAGAGUGUCUCCGUGGAGCAGCAGCUACUAUAAGGAACCAGAACAAUAUAAUACCUUUGGCAGAUCUCCAGACCUGUGUCAUACCCUCCCAGCUCCCAGAACCACUUCCUGUUCACUGCAAACAGCCCUCCUGCCAUCACUGGAGACCUGCAAGAAAAACACAAGGGAAGCAAUUAGUAAAAAAAUUUUUUUUUUUUUUUGUCAUAAAGAAAUACAAUCA